GCUAGUGUGGCUCAAUGGUAGAGCAGCUGACUUGUAAUCAGCAGGUUGUAGGUUCGAUUCCUAUCACUAGCUCCA
rnacentral:tRNA from 1 species